CUCUCUAAAAACAUGAACAUCAUUUAUUUGAAGACACGGUUCUCUGUAGGGUCACUUGCCAUGACUUUAUUUGAGUAUAUUUCUGUGUGCAUGUGGCAGGGAAAACAUUGUUGUUUACUAGAAAUUCACUCUUUUAUCUGAAGAUUGGAGACUACAUAAGACUUUGACAGAUGGCGGGAAACCCUCAUGAACUGGAUAGAAGCCGGUAAAUAGAUGGCCGUAAAACAGUGACUUUUGAUUCGUGACGAGUUCUUUCUUGCAUAUCGCGUGACCUAUCUUUUUUAUUGCUUAAAUCAAUUCGGCUUGGAAUGCUCUUCGAGAAAAGGUAGAGGAAUGUCUGCGACUAAGCCGAGGGCCACUGGAUAAGGGUUGUUGAUGGUAAAACAGAUUGGAGACUACAUAAGACUUUGACAGAUGGCGGGAAACCCUCAUGAACUGGAUAGAAGCCGGUAAAUAGAUGGCCGUAAAACAGUGACUUUUGAUUCGUGACGAGUUCUUUCUUGCAUAUCGCGUGACCUAUCUUUUUUAUUGCUUAAAUCAAUUCGGCUUGGAAUGCUCUUCGAGAAAAGGUAGAGGAAUGUCUGCGACUAAGCCGAGGGCCACUGGAUAAGGGUUGUUGAUGGUAAAACAGGUAGAGGAAUGUCUGCGACUAAGCCGAGGGCCACUGGAUAAGGGUUGUUGAUGGUAAAACAGGUAGAGGAAUGUCUGCGACUAAGCCGAGGGCCACUGGAUAAGGGUUGUUGAUGGUAAAACAGGUAGAGGAAUGUCUGCGACUAAGCCGAGGGCCACUGGAUAAGGGUUGUUGAUGGUAAAACAGAUUGGAGACUACAUAAGACUUUGACAGAUGGCGGGAAACCCUCAUGAACUGGAUAGAAGCCGGUAAAUAGAUGGCCGUAAAACAGUGACUUUUGAUUCGUGACGAGUUCUUUCUUGCAUAUCGCGUGACCUAUCUUUUUUAUUGCUUAAAUCAAUUCGGCUUGGAAUGCUCUUCGAGAAAAGGUAUGGUUA